GAGAGUUAAACAGUACGUGAAAUUGUUGAAAGGGAAACGAUUGAAGUCAGUCAUACCAACGGGAAAUCAACCUUUCGAGUUUAUUCUUGUGGGUUUCGAGGAGUUUAAAAGCCUUCGGAUUUGCGAGGAUUGGGCUCCAUUGGUGUACUUUCUCGUACGGUUAGUCAACAUCGGUUUUGAAUGUCAUAAAAUGACUGGAGGAAUGUGGCUUCGAUCUCGUAUCGAAGUGUUAUAACCUUUGGUAGAUGUGAUGUUUGAGACCGAGGAUUGCAACGGAUACCCUUCUGGGCUAUUCGUCUGAUCUCUGAUACGUUGCCUUGAUGUCGAAAGCUCGCUUAUGAUGUUAGGGUAUUACGGUCAAAAGGUUAGAACGGAUUAAAUUCGUUAAGGAUGUUGACGUAAUGACUUUAAACGA
rnacentral:rRNA from 1 species